AUUGAACACUGGCGGCAUGCCUUACACAUGCAAGUCGAACGGCAGCACGGAGCUUGCUCUGGUGGCGAGUGGCGAACGGGUGAGUAAUAUAUCGGAACGUACCCAAGAGUGGGGGAUAACGUAGCGAAAGUUACGCUAAUACCGCAUACGAUCUAAGGAUGAAAGUGGGGGCUCGCAAGACCUUAUGCUCCUGGAGCGGCCAAUAUCUGAUUAGCUAGUUGGUGAGGUAAAGGCUCACCAAGGCAUCGAUCAGUAGCUGGUCUGAGAGGACGACCAGCCACACUGGAACUGAGACACGGUCCAGACUCCUACGGGAGGCAGCAGUGGGGAAUUUUGGACAAUGGGGGCAACCCUGAUCCAGCAAUGCCGCGUGAGUGAAGAAGGCCUUCGGGUUGUAAAGCUCUUUUGUCAGGGAAGAAACGGUGAAGGCUAAUAUCCUUUGCUAAUGACGGUACCUGAAGAAUAAGCACCGGCUAACUACGUGCCAGCCGCCGCAGUAAAAC
rnacentral:rRNA from 1 species